UAUCGUGAAUCGGUAGUUCUCUUGUUGAUUGACUGUUGAUUGAUGAAUCGAGACAAAGAAGAAUGACAACAUUUAAAAACAAAAAAAAAUUGAACAGGAAAAGCAGAACAAACAAUGUGGAU
rnacentral:rRNA from 17 species